CGUCAAGAGUCGUAGCGGGUGGGGGCCUCCCUUAGCCCGGAGAACGUUGUAUCUAUGGGCCCACGGAUCGCGUCACAAGCCAGCGACUGAUCCUUGGUGGUGGUGGCCAAGGCGGCAGCGGCGGCGACAGCUCUGGGGUUUGCGUCUCGGGGUGUGUCGGCCGCCGCUGCUGCUCGGGCCUGGUAUGUACAGAUGGCUGGUUAGGAUUCUCGGCACCAUUUUCCGUUUCUGCGACCGGUCGGUGCCCCCUGCCCGGGCCCUCCUGAAGAGGCGGCGCUCGAACAGCACUCUGUUUUCUACAGUGGACACUGAUGAAAUACCCGCUAAAAGACCAAGAUUAGAUUGCUUUAUUCACCAAGUGAAAAACAGUCUCUACAAUGCUGCCAGCUUAUUUGGAUUCCCAUUCCAGCUGACCACAAAGCCCAUGGUAACUUCUGCUUGUAAUGGAACACGGAAUGUGGCCCCUUCAGAAGAGGUAUUUUCGAACUCUUCAUCUUGUGAACUGACAGGUUCUGGAUCCUGGAACAACAUGCUGAAACUGGGUAAUAAAUCUCCUAAUGGAAUAAGUGACUAUCCUAAGAUCAGAGUGACAGUAACCCGAGAUCAACCACGUAGAGUCCUGCCUUCCUUUGGUUUUACUCUAAACUCAGAAGGCUAUAAUAGAAGACCAGGUGGCCGUCGCCAUAGCAAAAGCAAUCCAGAGAGUUCCUUAACGUGGAAACCUCAGGAACAGGCUGUAACAGAGAUGAUUUCUGAAGAGGGUGGCAAGGGUCUGAGGCGUCCCCAUUGUACUGUGGAGGAGGGUGUUCAAAAAGAGGAAAGAGAGAAGUACCGAAGGUUAUUGGAGCGACUUAAAGAAGGUGGUCAUGGAAACUCUGUCCCACCUGUGACUUCACAUCAUCACAGCUCUCAAAGAAGUCAUAUAGACACAUUAAAGACCAAAGCCUGGGGGGAAGAGCAGAAUCACGGAGUCAGAGCAACUCAGUUUGUUCCAAAACAAUAUAGAGUUGCUGAAACAAGGGGACCUCUAUGUCCAAUGAGAAGUGAAAAGAGGUGUUCCAAAGGGAAAAUUUCUGAUACAGAGAAGAUGGUAGGAAUCAGACUUGAAAAUGAAGGUCGGAGGGGACACCGGCUGGAGCCUGAUCUAUCUGAAGAAGUGUCAGCUCGACUCCGCCUGGGCAGUGGAAGCAAUGGAUUACUCAGGAGGAAAAUGUCAAUACUUGAGGCAAAGGAAAAGAAUUUCUCAGGCAAAGAAAGGGAUAGAAGAACAGAUGAUCUCCUUGAACUUACAGAGGACAUGGAAAAGGAAAUCAGUAAUGCCCUAGGCCACGGCCCACAGGAUGAGAUCCUAAGUAGCGCUUUCAAAUUGCGGAUUACUCGAGGAGAUAUCCAGACCUUAAAGAACUAUCACUGGCUGAAUGAUGAGGUCAUUAAUUUUUACAUGAAUCUUCUAGUGGAAAGAAAUAAAAAGCAAGGCUAUCCGGCACUUCAUGUAUUCAGUACUUUCUUUUAUCCUAAAUUAAAGUCUGGGGGUUACCAAGCAGUGAAAAGAUGGACCAAAGGGGUAAAUCUCUUUGAACAAGAACUUGUUCUGGUGCCUAUUCAUCGGAAGGUACAUUGGAGCCUUGUGGUGAUGGACCUAAGAAAAAAGUGUCUUAAAUACCUGGAUUCUAUGGGACAAAAGGGCCACAGGAUCUGUGAGAUUCUCCUUCAGUAUUUACAGGAUGAAAGUAAGACCAAAAGAAAUAUUGAUCUAAAUCUUUUAGAGUGGACCCACUACAGCAUGAAGCCACAUGGGUCCAAAGCAGUAGGCCUGUUUUCCUGGCUAGGAUCAGAAGAUAAACUGCAGUUUCCAAGUAUAGGAGAUUCCUCAACAGUUGAAUGGGAGUGAUUGUGGAAUGUUUACUUGUAAAUAUGCAGAUUAUAUUUCUAGGGACAAACCUAUCACAUUUACUCAGCACCAGAUGCCUCUCUUCCGGAAGAAGAUGGUGUGGGAAAUCCUUCAUCAGCAGUUGCUGUGAGAACGCCCCCGCCUGCUCCCUCUCGCUGCUGGUGGUUCUUUCACGGACGUAUCCAUAUACCUCAUGCAUUGUGGGUUAAAAAGUCCCUGCAUCAUUUCUGUUCUCUCACAGGUACUGAGCUGUCAAAAGUGCAUGGAGGCCCCUUUCUGCACUACAGUCCUGACUUGGGGUGUGGAGGGGCUGCUUGCAACCCUGUCUGUAAGGCUGUGCCUGCUCAGAGCCCUUGACUGUUCAACCCACACAAGAACAAAUGCUAAUUAUUAUGUUUUUUGUUUUUAAGAGUUCUUUCCCUAUGAAUGUGGGAAAUGCAGGAUUUAUUCUAUGAAUUGUUUUUUUUCCGUGUUUGUUCACGUGUAUUCAUUUGCUCACUCAUUUGCAAACCUUGGGUGGUGGCCAUUUUCCACUGCUCUUUUACAGUUAACUCUAAAUUACUUGUUUGAACUAUUUAUUUCUGAAAGGAAUGUUAAUCAAACUGCCACUCCCUGCUGAAGGUCAGGAGGGACCUCAGUGGGGAGAGGAAGGAAGUGUUAAUUAACUUUUCUAAUGCUGGAGCAGUAACUGCCAACUUGAAGUAAGGGGUCUCCUCUUUUUUGAGGCUGGAAAAUGCCAGGAGAAACAAAAAUGCUGUGUUGUCGGGGGCCGAUUGCCUUUCAGAAGAAGUCUGACACUCCAGCAUUGGCACAGUGUUGUGGAAAAGCAGCAGUGUGGCCAAGGAGCUCUGGCCAUCCAUGUGUCUUCAGAAGAGUAUCAUGGUCAUCGUAAAGACACUUCCCUUUCUGGAAUUGAGGUGACUUGGCUGACUCCUGAAACUGGAUUCAAAGUAACCAUAGACCCUAAAUCUUCAUUUUCACCCUAGAUGUGAUUGAAUAUAAACCUCAGUAAGGGCUGGCCAGAGCUGUCCAUUUCACAGGAUAGUAUUCAGUUUAAAGCUGUUUUUCCUCAGAAGUUUUUUUUCUUUUUAUUAAGCUCAAUUCAGUUUUGUACUCAUUAAGAUUAAUAUCCCCCCACUCCACCCCUCUUCAAAUCUGUGGAAGAAGACUUAGCACUUGGCUCUGAGGUUAUAUAAUAAUCUAUUUUGCAUAUGAAAGUUUGUAUUUAACUUUUUUGUUCAUUAAAAAUCUUACAGAUGUGGUUAUGCAUUUUUAAUUUCAGAAAGUUUAGAGUUGGUCAGAACAUAUUUUGCAAGAUCUAGUGCCUAGUGUUGCUUUUAUGAUGUAAUAAAAGGUUGUCUGGCA